AUGAACGCUGGCGGCGCGCCUAACACAUGCAAGUCGAACGGCACCCCUCUCCGGAGGGAAGCGAGUGGCGAACGGCUGAGUAACACGUGGAGAACCUGCCCCCUCCCCCGGGAUAGCCGCCCGAAAGGACGGGUAAUACCGGAUACCCCGGGGUGCCGCAUGGCACCCCGGCUAAAGCCCCGACGGGAGGGGAUGGCUCCGCGGCCCAUCAGGUAGACGGCGGGGUGACGGCCCACCGUGCCGACAACGGGUAGCCGGGUUGAGAGACCGACCGGCCAGAUUGGGACUGAGACACGGCCCAGACUCCUACGGGAGGCAGCAGUGGGGAAUCUUGCGCAAUGGGGGGAACCCUGACGCAGCGACGCCGCGUGCGGGACGGAGGCCUUCGGGUCGUAAACCGCUUUCAGCAGGGAAGAGUCAAGACUGUACCUGCAGAAGAAGCCCCGGCUAACUACGUGCCAGCAGCCGCGGUAAUACGUAGGGGGCGAGCGUUAUCCGGAUUCAUUGGGCGUAAAGCGCGCGUAGGCGGCCCGGCAGGCCGGGGGUCGAAGCGGGGGGCUCAACCCCCCGAAGCCCCCGGAACCUCCGCGGCUUGGGUCCGGUAGGGGAGGGUGGAACACCCGGUGUAGCGGUGGAAUGCGCAGAUAUCGGGUGGAACACCGGUGGCGAAGGCGGCCCUCUGGGCCGAGACCGACGCUGAGGCGCGAAAGCUGGGGGAGCGAACAGGAUUAGAUACCCUGGUAGUCCCAGCCGUAAACGAUGGACGCUAGGUGUGGGGGGACGAUCCCCCCGUGCCGCAGCCAACGCAUUAAGCGUCCCGCCUGGGGAGUACGGCCGCAAGGCUAAAACUCAAAGGAAUUGACGGGGGCCCGCACAAGCAGUGGAGUAUGUGGUUUAAUUCGACGCAACGCGAAGAACCUUACCAAGGCUUGACAUAUACAGGAAUAUAUAAGAAAUUAUAUAGCUCUUCGGAGUCUGUAUACAGGUGGUGCAUGGUUGUCGUCAGCUCGUGUCGUGAGAUGUUGGGUUAAGUCCCGCAACGAGCGCAACCCCCGCCGCGUGUUGCCAUCGGGUGAUGCCGGGAACCCACGCGGGACCGCCGCCGUCAAGGCGGAGGAGGGCGGGGACGACGUCAAGUCAUCAUGCCCCUUAUGCCCUGGGCUGCACACGUGCUACAAUGGCCGGUACAGAGGGAUGCCACCCCGCGAGGGGGAGCGGAUCCCGGAAAGCCGGCCCCAGUUCGGAUUGGGGGCUGCAACCCGCCCCCAUGAAGUCGGAGUUGCUAGUAAUCGCGGAUCAGCAUGCCGCGGUGAAUGCGUUCCCGGGCCUUGUACACACCGCCCGUCACACCACCCGAGUCGUCUGCACCCGAAGUCGCCGGCCCAACCGCAAGGGGGGAGGCGCCGAAGGUGUGGAGGGUGAGGGGGGUG
rnacentral:rRNA from 1 species